AUUGAACGCUGGCGGCAUGCCUUACACAUGCAAGUCGAACGGUAACAGGUCUUCGGAUGCUGACGAGUGGCGAACGGGUGAGUAAUACAUCGGAACGUGCCCGAUCGUGGGGGAUAACGAAGCGAAAGCUUUGCUAAUACCGCAUAAGAUCUACGGAUGAAAGCAGGGGACCGCAAGGCCUUGCGCGAACGGAGCGGCCGAUGGCAGAUUAGGUAAUUGGUGGGAUAAAAGCUUACCAAGCCGACGAUCAGUAGCUGGUCUGAGAGGACGACCAGCCACACUGGGACUGAGACACGGCCCAGACUCCGACGGGAGGCAGCAGUGGGGAAUUUUGGACAAUGGGCGAAAGCCUGAUCCAGCCAUGCCGCGUGCAGGAUGAAGGCCUUCGGGUUGUAAACUGCUUUUGUACGGAACGAAAAGACUCUUUCUAAUAAAGAGGGUCCAUGACGGUACCGUAAGAAUAAGCACCGGCUAACUACGUGCCAGCCGCCGCGGUAAUAC
rnacentral:rRNA from 1 species